AUUGAACGCUGGCGGCAUGCCUUACACAUGCAAGUCGAACGGUAACAGGUCUUCGGAUGCUGACGAGUGGCGAACGGGUGAGUAAUGCAUCGGAACGUGCCCAGUUGUGGGGGAUAACUGCUCGAAAGAGCAGCUAAUACCGCAUACGACCUGAGGGUGAAAGCGGGGGAUCGCAAGACCUCGCGCAAUUGGAUCGGCCGAUGUCAGAUUAGGUAGUUGGUGGGGUAAAGGCCAACCAAGACGACGAUCUGUAGUUGGUCUGAAAGGACGACCAACCACAAUGGGACUGAGACACGGCCCAGACUCCUACGGGAGGCAGCAGUGGGGAAUUUUGGACAAUGGGCGCAAGCCUGAUCCAGCAAUGCCGCGUGCAGGACGAAGGCCUUCGGGUUGUAAACCACUGUCGGGAGGGACGAAUGCCCCGCAAGGGGAGUGACGGUACCUCCAAAGGAAGCACCGGCUAACUCCGUGCCAGCAGCCGCAGUAA
rnacentral:rRNA from 1 species